CAAAUUUGGUCCCAGAAAGUAUCGCAGUGGUGAGGAGUAAACCCAAAUUUGGUCGCCAAAUUUAGGGUUUGAGACCAAAUGUGGUCGUCGGCCCAGACUAAAAAAGAUAUAGUGGGACGGAAGUAUUAGGAGCGUAUGAUAUCAGGCGUAAGUUUAAUCACCGUAUACAAUCAGGCGAGCAUAUAAUCACCGUAUGAGUCAGGCGCAUGUAUUAACUCCGCCCCCUUCAAACGCGUCAGACGAUGUUAAUACUUACGCCUGAAAUGGGACGGAUGUAUAAAGGGCGUAUGAAUGAGGCGCAGUUAUAAAAAACGUCUGGGUUGGGCGCAUGUAUUGUGAGCGUCUGUGUCUAGGCGUAUCUUUAAUGUACGUCUCUUGUCCAUCUACCCUCCGCGUUUCUUCAUUAGCUUCUAUCAAACACAAAUGAAGUUGCAUUUCUCACUGAAGCUGGUUGUUCUUAUCGAAAGGAAAAAAAUCUGAGAAGGGUUCACAAUGGUUGGAAUAAAAGCCAGCAGUGGUGAUGGUUUUGAAAGCUAGAUGGAUUUUUGGAGUUCAGGCAUGAGUAAUGAUUUAAUAAACUUGGGAUAAUGAUGACCUAACAGCAUCAACAGUGGAUACAGGAGAUGCUGAUGUUGCUUCCAUUGUUCCAAUCGGUUGAUGGCUGCAUACAAAGGAAGAAUGGAUCCUCAAAUUUGCUCGAGUAUGGUACUGGCCGUUGAUUCGUACAACUGAAUGAGAGAUAAAGUUCACGGCAACAGAACGAGAUGCAGAGUGUUAACUGGUUGCUCGAGCUGUGCUAUUGCCGGAAGAUGGAGAAAUGGAACAGUGGUGUCAGGGGUUGUUGGCCGAUGGUGCUGUGACUGAUAUGGCAUUGCUCGUGUUAUGCUCGAGUUUGAGAACUUUUGGAAAGAAUGAUGGGUUGGCUGAUAUUAAGCUACUGCAAUCGUCGGUGUUGGAAAAAGAAGAGACGAAGAAAGAUGUUAGACGAAUUGGUUUCACGACACAGACGCAGUUUCUAUCUGCGUUUGAAUGAGACGCCAUUUGUAACUCCGUCCCAGCAAACGCAAUUACCAUCUACGUCCCGUGCACGGCGUGAAUAAUACCUACGUCCCAUUCAAGCGCGCAUUAUACCUCCGUUUCAUUCAGACGCAUAUUAUGAACACGCUCCAUCAAGAAACGUGGAUAUAAGUUGCGUCCCGCAUCAAGCGUGGAUAUAAGUUCCGCUUCACCAAAAUUUGGUAUUCUCCCACUGGGCUUGAACACACGGAAAACCAAAUUUUUUUGGUUUUUAAUCUGGCUUUUGGUAUUUGGUCCAUCUCAUGACUGUGGUUGCUCUUAUCUUUUCUAAACAAACAGUGCAAGUAAUGAACAAACUCUCUCUCUCUUUCUGGCUUGAUUGAAAUUUUUUGGGGUUUGCUUCUGUUUAUCUCUGACACAAAAAGAAUCCCCCACCUUCCCAAGUAGCUCAUCUUUUUUCUUUUUUUUUUUCCUUCUUUCACAGUCCAGCUACGAGAUAUCAGUUUCCUUUUAUGGUAGAAAAUUUACCCCCCCUGGAACUAUUAUCAACUGUUGCACAAGUAGUAGUAAUGGAUGUUAAAGAAGAAUAGUGGGAAUUAUAUAAUUGCCCUCAAUUCUGACGCGCUACACAAAUACCCUUAUCCUCUCUCUUUCAAUUCCAUCAUCGUCUUCAUCGCCGCUACCACCACCACUACCACCUUCUCCUCCGUCGCCACAAACAGAUUCAGGAACACCAUCUUCGCCAUCACCUCCUAUACUUCCACCAAAUCCACCACCACCACUACCACACGACAUCUUCGCCACAAACAGAUUCAGGAACACCAUCUUCGCCACUAUCUUCAUCGUCGCCACCACUAUUCUAGCAGCACCUCCACUUCCGCUACCACUUCAGAAGCAGAUCAUUGUUCAUCUCCUCCUUCAUUUUGUCUCAUAUUUUCGGUAUAAUCUCAGAUACAGAGAGAUCGAGAUUUUCAAUUUUUAGGGUUGUCUUCUGAUAGUUUUCGAUUUUUAGGGUUCAUCUUCUGCUCGUUUUCGAUUAUUUUAUUAAAGAUCGUGUUGAUUAGUGAUUCUGUCCGCCAUGAAGAUUAGAUAGGCAAGUUGUUACUACUUAUACAUGAAAAGAUGAGCUUCUUCAAGAGGAGGGUAUAUACCAUUUCAAGAAGCGUUCAGUUUUCGUAACUACAUCGAGCCACUUGAUUUUGUUUGAAUAUAUCCAGUUUUGCUUAUCUUUGAUUGUAAAUUCUCAUACUGCUGCAAAUUCACGGGGUAGCUUUUGUUACUAUUUUUUUUCGUCAGUAGAUGAGAAUCCAGAUCUUUCCAUGGAGAAAUUGCAUUAAUGGAGGCAAUUCAGAUUUCAGGCAAGAAAUGAACCAAAUACCAAGGUAUGUGCAGAUUCAGUAGUUGAAUCUUUUCUCUAUUAUUUAGAUGUGCAAUCUAUAAGAGAUUUUACUUGGUUUUUGGUUAUAAGGUUGUAAACAUGAAUCUUCUAUGUUAGCAAUACUCAAAGUUUAAGUUAUUUUGUGGAACAACUAUGAAUGGAUGUUUACGCCAGAACAUCAUGUACUGGGGCAAAUUGUCCCAGUUAACGGUAUGUGUAGCAAAAGCUGCAUCCGAAGUGUAGUUUAAUUCUGCGUAGUACUUAAACUAGUGAAUUGCAUUAAUUGAGGCAAUUCAGAUUUCAGGCAAGAAAUGAACCAAUGAUUACAUUAGAGAAGAUAGUGAUGAGCUAAGGGUGCUUGUAAAGAUUACUAUAGUCCUGUUCCUAAUAGAUUUUGCAUUUUCUAAAGCAAAUGAUAACAGGUGAGUGGGUACCUUAUUUGAUUUUUCUUGAUUUUGGGUUUUGGCAUAUAUACUAUUCCGAACCAACUUUGUACAGAUGAGAGGUUAACAAGGUACAGUCGACAUAUAUAAUAUAUAUAACACUACUGGUGAUGAGUAAUUAACAAGGUUUGAUUCUUAUUCUUUCUUUAGCAAUAUAACACUAUUGCUUUCUGCUACACUGUUUUAAAUUAUUAAACAUGCAAUUAUUAUUACAUUUGCAUUACAACACCAUUAGUCCUCGUUAUUAAUGUUUAUCAUCAUUAGAAAAUUUCUGUAAUACUGACAAGGUGUGCCAUGUUUUCUAACCAACUUGAACGUUUAGUACUAUUAUUGGAGAAAUGCUUGGGUAAGCUCAUAUUUUGAUUAAGUGAAUAGGAUUAGUCUAUGGCAUAUCCAUAAAUUGGAAACUUAUUUUCCUGACAUAAUACCUAGGCGUCUUAUGAUAAAAUUCCAUGUGUAAAGCACAAUACGUGGUGGCGGGCGGGCGGUGGUGGACCAGUGGUGGCGGGCGGGCGGGCGGGCGGGCGGUGGUGGACCGGUAGCGGUGGUGUUCCGGUGGUGGGGUACUAGUGGUGGUGGCGGUUGGUAAGUGGUGGUGGAAUGAUAGUUGAAUGUUGGUGGUGGGAUAUUUGGUAGUGCUAGUGGUGGUGGUGGCGUUCAAAUGGUAGAUACAAAUUUUUAUUGUAUUUCGAAAGAAAAAAAUAUAUUAUAUGAGUGAGGAUAUUAAGUUAAUCUAAUUUUUUAUGGAUAAGGUCUUUAAAUGACAAGGGUAUAUUUAUUUGGUUUUCCCUGUUUC